rnacentral:rRNA from 1 species
UACAGAGGUCUCAAGCGUUUGUUCGGAUUCAUUGGGCGUAAAGGGUGUGUAGGUGGCGCGCUAAGUCGGGUGUGAAAUUUCGGAGCUUAACUCCGAAACUGCAUUCGAUACUGGCGUGCUUGAGGACUGGAGAGGAGACUGGAAUUCAUGGUGUAGCAGUGAAAUGCGUAGAGAUCAUGAGGAAGACCAGUGGCGAAGGCGGGUCUCUGGACAGUUCCUGACACUGAGACAGAAGGCCAGGGGAGCAAACGGG